rnacentral:lncRNA from 1 species
CCGGAGAUGGAAGAGGAAGAAGGGAAGGCAGAGGAAAACCCUAACGCGUUGUCCAAUUUUCGGAUUUCGGAGCCACUUAGGGAGAAGCUGAAGUCGAAGGGGAUCGAAGCGUUGUUUCCCAUUCAGGCUAUGACGUUCGAUACCAUUCUUGAUGGGUCUGAUUUGGUUGGCCGGGCGCGUACUGGUCAGGUACGUAUGAUUUUGGUGUCUGUUUUGUUGCUGAGAAAAUAUGGGUAAAAAGGAGUUGAGUUUUGGGUUUUCAAUUUUCUUUACAAACAAUAUAAGAUCAAGACGUAAUGGGUCAUUUAUAAUGUGUUAUUUGUUUUAUAUUUUUGCAAAUUUUUCUUAAAUAGUAUCUAAUUUCUUCAGAAAUUGGUUAGGUUCAGUACGAAUUAGUCUCGAAAUGUUUUAAUCUAUUAGCCAUGAAAGAAUCUCCUAUCUAGUUAUAUUAAGCUAAUUGGCUGAUGGUGAAUUUGAAUAAAUUUUAGUGAAAAGGAAUGAAACCAAAAACUUGCUGAGUUGUUUGCAAUCAAUUUGGGCUAUCUGGUUGAGUUUGACCUAAUUUGGAAUACUGGACAGAGGUGAGUCAAUAAAUUAUUUUGCUGGGAAGAGCUGUUUGGAUGAGGUUCCCAAAGGUUUAAGGUUCUCAGCUCUGGAUUGGAUUCAAGACCUGGGCAUAGUUGUUAGUAAAUAUCUGUCUGUAGGAAAACUGGUUGCUUGAAAAGUGAGAGGUGUGGUCUUGAAGGAUGUGAAAUUUCCUUAAAUUAAAUUAUGCCAAAGCUCUUAUUGGAGCAGGUAUGGUUUUGAGGAUUUCUGAUCCAUUUUUUGUGUGCUUAAUGCCAUUUUCUUGAAUGGUAGGGUUUCUUGUUGCAAGUUUAAAAUAUAUCCAAGCCCAUUAACGUAGAAGAAAUUGAGCUUGUCUGAAACAUCUAUGCUUGUUUUGAAUAAACUAAUGAUAGUCAAACCCUGUUCUGAUAAAAAAAAUGAUGGUAAAACCCUGUUUGUGUCUUUAAAAAAUCAAACUUGAUUUAAUGUUGCAUAUUGUCCAUGUUUUGUGUGUGGCUAGUUUCGCAAUAGAAUGAAUUCCUGUCCUUCCUGCAGUGUCAAGUUUCUUGUUGUUCAUUUACCUUAAUUAAUAGUUUAUUGUUCAUUGCAUGGGUGGUCCUACUGGACUUCUAUCCCUGUGUCGAAUACUAGUUCCUGUAACUAUCCUUUACACUCUUACAGGGAAAAACACUGGCCUUUGUGUUGCCUAUUUUGGAGUCUUUAAUAAAUGGGCCCAACAGAGGAUCACGAAAGACUGGAUAUGGGAGACCACCAUGCGUUUUGGUGCUUUUACCUACCAGGGAAUUGGCAACUCAGGUAUUAUGCAAGGACUUAGUUUGAGGAAUCUGCCCUUGCCUCUGUAGUAACCAUUUAUCUAAUUAUUUUAAUUUUUUUGGAGUUAUUUUUAGGUGUAUGCAGAUUUUGAUGUUUAUGGUGGGGCAAUAGGAUUAACUUCAUGCUGUUUAUAUGGUGGUGCUCCUUACCAAGCUCAAGAGAUUAAGCUAAAAAGAGGAGUUGAUAUUGUUGUGGGAACACCUGGCCGUAUUAAGGUACUUUCUUCUUUUUCAAUUUCAUUCUAGCCCCUGUUCUAAUUUUGCAGAUUUAUUUGCAUGUAAAAUUUUUAGUGUUCUGUAUCCCAUUCAUGCUAAUACUGAUGUCCAAGCAAAUCAUGUUGUAGGAUCACAUAGAGAGGGGAAAUAUUGACUUCAGCUCUUUAAAGUUCCGUGUCCUUGAUGAGGCUGAUGAAAUGUUGAGGAUGGGUUUUGUUGAAGAUGUUGAACUUAUUCUAGGUAUGUUAAUCAUCAUUUAGGGGUGCAUUGUUUUAUGAUAUUUCUUGAUUUUCUGAAUUAAAUUAUGAAAAGCAGAAUUAAAUAAAUUCUCCAUUUAUGUAUCAGCAUGUAGGAGUAGCAGUAUAUAAGCCAGUGUGAAUAUUGAACAAAUCUAUUGACACAUUGGCACAUUAAUAAAUUAUAGUGAUUUUCAUAGUAUUAUCAAAAUAUACCUCAGAUCCAUACAUAUGUUACAAUGAUAUUAGUUUCUGUGUAUAGAUUGAGUUGAUGCCUAAAUCCAUUUUUGGUUUUAUCUGGAAAUGAUCUGUGAAUGCUGGAAAUUUUAGGGAUAAGAGUUAUUUAUCCUCUUCUCGCAUUCUUCUCUUGUACAUACACAAAUGUUGAUAUAGGAUAGUCUAUGAAAUGUUGACAUAGGAGAGUCUGAGAAGAAGUGAAGUAUAUGUCUUCACCAAAUCUCUGUCUGUCUGUCUCUUGUGUGUUCCUGGGAGGCAUCUCAGAUUCUCUCAAGUUCUUAUAUUUUCUUAGAUGCAUUGGAUUUUUUAUGUGAUAAGUUUUGGCCACUAGAUGCAUUCCACGUAUUAUUAUUAGUUGUGUGCAUACAUAAAAGGAUGGUGGAAGUUAAUAUCUGGUAGGAUAUACUACAAUAUAUUAUUUUCUGUGUAUAG